ACAACUCAGCGGUGGAUCACUCGGCUCGUGCGUUGAUGAAGAACGCAGCUAGUUGUGAGAACUAAUGUGAAUUACAGGACACAUUGAUCAUCGACACUUCGAACGCACUUUGCGGCCCCAGGUUCCUCCUUAGCUACGUCUGUCUGAGGGUCG
rnacentral:rRNA from 1 species